UCUCGUCUUCCUGCCCUCUGCCCACAAGGUCGUCGCCUUGCCGGUCGGCGGCUGCCGCUGUCCGCUGCUGAUUGUCUGAUCGCCGUGAGCCCGUCCGUGACGCCGUCGGCCACCAGAUUUUUUCUGCUCCGCUGCUCCGGCUAAGCCGCUGAGGGCUAAUUUCCUGCGACCAGGUGUUGAUUGCCUUGCGCCAUUGCCUGUGCUGUAGGUUAAGAAAAGGUUUCAAGCCAUGGGUAAUCGGAGAAUAGAUUUGCCGAAGCCUCGUAGAGUCCGUAAAAAUACAAAGUGAUUUACUUGCGUAGAGAGGUCAAGGCCUGGUUGGGUUCGUCCUCUCCAUUUGGGCCGUACUCCCUGUUGGGCUACCUGGCCCACCCAGGGUUUGCUUGCGCCCCCUGGGCCUGGGCCUCUUUCACUCCAGCUUGGAAUUCAGCCUGGGCCAGCUGGUGGAGGGAGAGGAAGGUGCUUGAGUUGGCCUUCUUCUGCAUGCUCUGGACAUUUUAUCUGCUGCACCUUUCAGACUUCUUGAUAUCCAUUUGAAGUUGAUGGGUGGUCUUGCAUAUGACGAUGGAAUUUGGACAUCAGUGCUCUCAAGCUCUAAUGUUUUGGGUUAGAUUCAAAAUCAUGUUUGCUAAUUGUGUCCACUAAAGUGAACUUGUCAGAAACACUGCUGAUUUGCAGUCCUGUUGUUAUGUUUAUACGCCCGCCCAAAUGCCUGCGAGCUCCGCCUGUAAAGGAGAGCUCCAAUCUGCACUGCAAGCUAGAAUGAGCAUAAAUCUGUGUGUGGCAUCAUUGUGAAUAAAGAUCCAAGUACCAAAUCAAGUUGCCAUUCCAAGAUGCAUCGUUGCAUCAACAUAGCAUCU